rnacentral:rRNA from 1 species
AGAACGAACGCUGGCGGCAGGCUUAACACAUGCAAGUCGAGCGAGGACUUCGGUCCUAGCGGCGGACGGGUGAGUAACGCGUGGGAACGUGCCCUUUUCUUCGGAAUAGCCCUGGGAAACCGGGAGUAAUGCCGGAUACGCCCGAUCAUAGCGAUAUGGUUGGGGAAAGAUUUAUCGGGGAAGGAUCGGCCCGCGUUGGAUUAGGUAGUUGGUGGGGUAACGGCCUACCAAGCCGACGAUCCAUAGCUGGUUUGAGAGGAUGAUCAGCCACACUGGGACUGAGACACGGCCCAGACUCCUACGGGAGGCAGCAGUGGGGAAUCUUGGACAAUGGGGGCAACCCUGAUCCAGCCAUGCCGCGUGAGCGAUGAAGGCCUUAGGGUUGUAAAGCUCUUUCAGCGGGAAGAUAAUGACGGUACCCGCAGAAGAGCCCCGGCUAACUCCGUGCCAGCAGCCGC